rnacentral:rRNA from 1 species
AUGGAUGAUAGUAAUGUGAGUGAUCAUGAGCCCAUAUUUAAUUCAUCUACGGCAGAAUCUACUAGUGUUGAUGAGGAACCAAUUAGUGUGGAUAUUUAUGAUCCAAGCAAUUGGGGUAAUCUUGAUAACAAAGCGAGGGACAUAUUAGUGGAAAAGGGGCCUAAAAGGGAAGAAGAAAACACUAAAUAUCCUUUGGAUGAGAAUUUAAGACAUUUUUCAUAUAGCCGUUACUCAAGAAAGAUGAGCAAUGGAGAGGUCCAUGAUAGAAAAUGGUUAGUUUUUUCAAAACACACAAAGAAAGUGUUUUGUUUUUGCUGUAAGAUUUUCAAUUCUGAUAAAUGCAAAAGUGCAAUGGGGAAUGAUGGGUUUUGUGAUUGGAGGCAUAUUAGAGACUGA